GCAUUAGUCAAGUAUCAUUUAGGAUUUACGAAUCAAAAACAGCACGAAGCCGUUUUCUAGUCUGUCACUCCGCAGCCAAAAAAAAAAAAAAAAAAAUGGCAGAAGAAGAAGAGGUGGCGAUGGAAUUGGAAGCUGUACAAGCUGUAUAUGAAGAAGAUUGUGUGGUUCUUGAUUCCUAUCCGCCCCAUCUUCACCUCCAUAUCAAGCCUCGAACCGCUGAUGUAUCUUCCCAACAGUUUGUUGAAGCAGUUAUCGACAUACGAGCAGGCCCCAAGUAUCCCGAUGAACCACCUUCUGUUGAUCUUAUAGAAUCCAAAGGUCUUGACCAGAAAAGGCAGAAACACUUGAUAAGCAGUGUACAAGAUAAAGCAUGUGAACUCUCCUCUUGUUUGAUGCUUGUUGCACUCUGUGAGGAAUCGGUGGAGAAGCUCUCUGGUAUGAAUCAUCCUGAUGGUGACUGUCCAUUGUGUUUGUAUCCUUUGGUCCCCAAAGAUGAGACUGAUGAAGUCUUGCCAUUUAUGAAGUUGAUGUCUUGCUUCCAUUGCUUUCAUAGUGACUGCAUCAUUCACUGGUGGAAUUGGCUCCAAAAGGAGAAAGAAAAUGAUGCUUCAUAUGGAGACACCUCGCACCUUAUAAGAGACAUGAGAAAUGAAAGAGUGGAAGAAAACAUAGGAAACUGUCCAGUUUGCCGUAACAUUUUUCAUGCCAAAGAUCUUGAACAUGUGCUUGACUUGGUUGGUAGUCAAUCCUCACAACUGAGGAUUUCUGAUGGUCCUGAAGUUGAUGACAAUGAGAAGCUCCUUCAGUCUGAUUCAGAGGACAUGAGAAGACAGAAAUUUGAGGCUAUUCUAAAAUUGCAGGAAGAAAGAAGUGGCCUAAUUGAACCAAAGAGAGAACUUGUCGUUUUGCCUGGUAUGUUUCUUUCGCAACCAGCCGCACUGCCCUCCCCAACAACCAAAGAAACCACUGAGCAAGAACAAAGAGAGCCACCAGAGCAAGAACCAGUAGAACCGGCUGCCCCGGCAGAAACAAAUCCUACUGGUUCCUCAAAUAGGCCUAGUACUAGUAAGCAAUGGAAUUCAGGCACGAGGAAACCUAGAGUAAGAAAUCCUAGAAAGCAAGUAAGACAGUGGGUUAAAAAAGAUAAUAGUACCACAGAUUAAUCAUUUUAUAUUUUGAGUCUGAGUUUUUUUAUAUCAAUUUAUUAUGAAUGAAAAUGCAAUAUAGAAAAAUGAUUACAAACUGAACAGGAGAGGAAGAAAAAAAAAUAAUGAAAGCAAAAUGUUUAUAGUGGAUUCUCAGCUUGAAGUUAUGAAUGCCAAAGUUUUGAAAUGGAAACGAAAGAUCGAUGAGGAUGAGAUGGACUAGGAUGUUAAGUGGAAGGCGCUAUUCUGUUUAUGAAGCUGUUUUCUGUUGGAAAAUACACGAAAAUUAGGUACAUUAUUGAGAUGAUUAGGAAUAAUGAAGAUCUUAUGCGGUAUAAAAAGUUUGACUCCAUAACAAUCUUCAUAGACUGACCGACCAUCUUGGGGCGGAAAAUGGGUGAAAACGUGGACAAAUUCCACGGACAUAUAUAGUGGUCUGUGGAUGAAUGGUUUCAGACUGGGAUUCAAGAGAUACCCAAUACUGUACUUGAUGCGAAAAUCGAUUAUAAAAGUCUGAACAAGAGGGAAAGCCAACUGGCAAUGAGAGUGGUGAGGGUC